rnacentral:ncRNA from 1 species
ACAGCAUGCAAAUGGUUUUCUGUUGAUUCGUUGAGUGGUGGUUCAUUACUGUUCUUAUUUGGUCAAGCGACAUGUUUAGUUGAUUCCGAUAAGGAGCCAGACAAUAACCUACUAAAUAGAAAAUUGACUCUUUGUGGUCACUCAGAACGCGACACUUGUUGCUUCUUUAUCAAAUGAUGCAGUUGCUAUCGGGUUGGAAUGUUGCCAGUUUUUACUUUUUAGGGGGUUAUAGAAAUUUUGGCAAUAACUGGUCUGUGACGCCCUUAGAU